rnacentral:rRNA from 1 species
UGGGGAAUAUUGGACAAUGGGCGCAAGCCUGAUCCAGCCAUGCCGCGUGUGUGAAGAAGGCCUUUUGGUUGUAAAGCACUUUAAGCGAGGAGGAGGCUACUUGGAUUAAUACUCUAGGAUAGUGGACGUUACUCGCAGAAUAAGCACCGGCUAACUCUGUGCCAGCAGCCGCGGUAAUACAGAGGGUGCGAGCGUUAAUCGGAUUUACUGGGCGUAAAGCGUGCGUAGGCGGCUUCUUAAGUCGGAUGUGAAAUCCCUGAGCUUAACUUAGGAAUUGCAGUCGAUACUGGGAAGCUAGAGUAUGGGAGGGGAUGGUAGAAUUCCAGGUGUAGCGGUGAAAUGCGUAGAGAUCUGGAGGAAUACCGAUGGCGAAGGCAGCCAUCUGGCAUAAUACUGACGCUGAGGUACGAAAGCAUGGGGAGCAAACAGG